CCAGUGUCAGUGUGACGAGUAAAAAGAGCAAAAUCAUAAUGGGUUAGAAGCAAACCCAAGCUGUGCAACAGUGGAGCUGAAAUUGGCAAAUCAAGCACGGGGAGCUUGUUUAAGCCCAUAUAAUGCAUGUCGGAGAUGACAGAUCUUACCAAGAGGAUGAGGAUACCCUGGAGGAGGCUGCAUAUAGACCCCCUUAGCCAAAUCACCAUGUAAGAAGGCAUUCUUGACAUCCAUCUGAAACAGAGGCCAUCGAUCUGUAGAGGCGACAACCAAAAGAGAACGGACAGAGGUAAUACGAGCAACAUGGGUAAAUGUCUCCUCCUAGUCAAUGCUAAACUCUUGAGUAAAGCCCUUUGCCACUAAAUGAACAUUAUGUCUUACUUCAGAACCAUCAGAGUUUGUUUUCCUCUUAUACACCUAUUUGUUCCCAACUACAGUCUUUCCAGAAAGCAGAUCAACCAGAUCCAAGUAUGAGUUUUGUGAAGAGCGUCAGGUUCUUCAGACAUAGCUUGCUGCCAAACAUGGUCAGAACAAACUUCGAGAUAAUUGCGAGGCUCAUGAAGAGAGUCAAGAGUAGAAAAAUAAUGGUAAUCACUAAGAUGGGUAGGAGGUGCUCUUACUCUACUAGAAUGACGAACAUCCAAAUCAGAGGACUCAGGAGGUGUAUAUGCGAUGGCAUGAUCAUCAGACAAUCCAGUUUCGUGAGAGGUAGGUGUGGAGUGAUCACUAGAUGAGCUGACAUGACCUGCAUUAGAGGAAAAAUCUCGAGAGAGGUCUAUGGUAGGCUCAGUGAAAAUGGGAGAAUAUGAGAGACAAUCGGAUGAAAGUGGAAAGAUGCAAGUAAACAC
rnacentral:lncRNA from 1 species